GACUGCUUUGGUCUAAUAGUGGUUAGAGUGUCUGUCUCCGAUGCAGGAGGUAAUGGGUUCAAACCCCAGCUGAGUCA